AAUAUUUUCAUUAUAUUAAUACAUAGUCUUUUUACUACAUAGUUUUCUCUUGCUUACAAACCAGAGGUGGGAUCACAUAAUCAUGAAGAAAAGGUGCUUAAGCCCCAGUCUCAAACUCUCUGUUCCUGCAUCUGAUCAAGGUUAUUUUGCCAUGUCUGAAAGUGGAACAUUUAAGGCUGGGAACCUGCUAGUUAAUAAGGAUGGAGUUCAAAUUGUCUCUGAGAAUGAAGUGGAAGCUCAACCCCCAAUCAGACCAUUAGACAACCAGUUAAGUUUGGCAGAUAUUGAUUCAAUCAAAGUGAUUGGAAAGGGAAAUGGAGGGAUAGUGCAAUUGGUGCAACACAAAUGGACUAAUCAGUUUUUUGCAUUGAAGGAAAUUCAAAUGAAUAUUGAGGAGCCUAUGCGCAGGCAGAUAGCACAAGAGAUAAAAAUUAAUCAAUCAGCACAGUGUCCUUAUAUUGUUGUCUGCUACCAGUCGUUCUAUCAUAAUGGUGUCAUAUCAAUCAUCUUAGAGUACAUGGAUGGAGGGUCCUUGGAAGAUCUUCUGAACAAAGUUAAAACAAUUCCAGAGCCAUACAUUGCUGCCAUCUGCAAGCAGGUCCUGAAAGGAUUAAUCUAUCUUCACCAUCAAAAACAUAUUAUCCACAGGGACUUAAAACCUUCUAAUUUGCUCAUAAAUCAUAGAGGGGAGGUUAAAAUUACUGACUUUGGUGUAAGUGCAAUAAUGGAUACUACAUCUGGUCAAGCAAAUAGUUUCAUUGGCACAUACAACUAUAUGUCUCCAGAGAGAAUCAUUGGUAACCAAAAUGGCUACAACUACAAAAGUGAUAUAUGGAGCUUGGGACUGGUGUUGCUAAAGUGUGCUACAGGGAAGUUUCCAUAUAUACCACCAGAUCAAAGUGAAGGAUGGGAAAAUAUGUUCCAGCUUAUUGAAGCCAUUGUGGAAAAACCUUCACCUUGUGCUCCUUCUGGUGAAUUUUCUCCAGAAUUUUGUUCAUUUAUCACAGCAUGGUAAAUAUUAAGUAUGCUUCAUUAAAUAAAUCAUUUAAUCUCUAGAAUCUUGGCCUCCCAAAAGAAAAUGAAACAUGACUCUCACUCUCACACACUCACUCUUCCUGAAAUUAUUGGGAUACUUGAGAAACCUACAAUUUGAAAGCUGAAUGAGUGUGUAGCCAAAACUUAUAAGCUAUCUAAAUUUGUGAAGCUUAUAUUCAUAUUUUAUUUUAAGAUAUCUUGUAUAGUACCUAAUUGUGUGUGAAGCCAUAUGCUCAUCUUCUAUUUCAACAUAACUUCUACAAUUUCAUGGAACGAACCUCCAUCUGUAAGUGUGUUUAAACUAAUCUAAAAAGUUGGCACCUUCAGUCACUAUUCAAUCGGUUUUUCUGUUAUAAAUUUUUUGUCACUGUUCAUUUUAUGAGGCUGUUGAUCCUCAUUUAACCACCUGUUUUUAGUUUACAGAAAAAUCCAAGGGAUAGACCAUCGGCUCCGGACCUUAUAAAGCACCCUUUUAUCAACAUGUAUGAGGACUUGAAUGUGGAUCUUUCAGCUUAUUUCUCCAACGAGGGAUCUACACUUGCAAUCAUAUAAAGCAUGGUAUGUUCCAAUCCUGGACUUUAUUAAGAGGUAAGCCCUGUAUCACUUGGUAUUCUUAAAUGUAGAUCACUAUAUAAGCUAACAAUUUUGUUAUCCUAAGCUCUUAAAGUUAAAUUUAAGCAUUUACAAGUAAUAAAUUUUCAUUAGUAAAUAAAAUAUAAUUUAUUACACAUGUAUCCCCAAUGUGAUAAAUACUUCUUUUUCAAUAAAAGUACCUACUUUUUAUGCUUAAACUUAAUUUUAAGGGCCAAGGAUAGCAAAAUCGUAUAAAUAAAAUAUGUUGAUCCGUCACGAAACGUAGAAUUAUUGCCAUGGUUUUGUUAGAGGAAAUUGUAAACGCUACGGAUGCUCUUGCUUUGGUGCUCAGAAAUUAUAUGAUCGAUUUCUAAUUUUCUAAUAAAAUGAUCCUUUGUGUUGAAUGCUUGUAUUAUGCUGUCUAAUGAGAUUGGAUUAUUCGUCUAAAGUCAACAUCAUACUUUUACAGAUAUUACCUAAACUACAAGUAAUUGUGGGAUAUGAUCUUUGCAACCUUCAAGUUCCCAUACUAACAUUCUGGCCUAUCUGAGGCCCUCCUAUAUGAAAUACAGAGAGUUCUGAACAGUGAGAGAGCUAUGACACAAUCAACUUGGAAAGUACUACUGUCACCUGAUAUGUUACUGCAGUUUGGAUUCCUGUGUUUGUAGAUUCACCAUAUGCCCGUGACCAGAAUUUUCAGAAUGGAGCCAAAGUGUUGAAAGUGUGCCAGCAACAGCUGCAUAUGUUGAUGUUUUAUUCAAUUUUUUGAAAUUUAUGAAAAUAAAGGAUAUUCUGUUUUGUAUGUUUGAUUCUAGCUCUAUUUAAAGAGUAAAUGAAUGACAACUAUGUAUCUUCU